CUGUUGAAAUGAUAUGUUUAUGGGCUCUCAUUCUAUUGGGUUCAGCCAUAUAUUUUGGGCCUCUUGUUACUAAUUUGUUUCAUAUUGCUAGUUUGUUGCAACAGUUUUUGAUGUGCUGGAUAUUUUGGAGGGUGUAAAGUGGAAGUAUCAGGGGUUGAAAUGGGCAUCUUCCAAUUCUUAUGGUUCUUUGUGUAACCUUUCAAGUGCAGCCAUAUAUAAGAUCCAUAUGAUGAGUUGAUCUCUUUCAAGUUUGGUUGAAGCUACUGAAUCGUUUUGGAGUCACUGUGCAUCAGAGUUUCUACAAGUCUUUCAGGAGAUUAGUUCUUUCUACUCUGUUAUUUAUUUGUAUCCUUUGUAUUGUAGUUGUUGUUGUUAGAUCUUUGAUAGAUCUGGUGAUCGAUUGUGAUCAUUGUUCCUGAACAUCUGAUUGUUUGUAUCAGAUGUUUAUUGUUCUGUAUUCUGUUAACAGAUCUUACUAUUUGUAAGAUCUAGGGUUUUGGGGGGUGUUUUUCGGUUUGGGUAAAUAAUAAAGUUUUGUCACCGUUUUUGUUGCU